CCUACGGGAGGCUGCAGUGGGGAAUAUUGCGCAAUGAGCGAAAGCCUGACGCAGCGACGCCGCGUGAGGGAUGAAGGUCUUCGGAUCGUAAACCGCUGUCAGCAGGGAAGAACGGUCACAGUGCUAAUCAGCAGUGAAUUGACGGUACCUGCAAAGGAAGCACCGGCUAACUCCGUGCCAGCAGCCGCGGUAAUACGGAGGGUGCGAGCGUUAAUCGGAAUUACUGGGCGUAAAGCGUUCGUAGGCGGUAUGUCAAGUCAAGGGUGAAAUCCCCGCGCUCAACGUGGGAACCGCCUUUGAUACUGGCAAACUAGAGUUAGUUAGAGGAUAGUGGAAUUCCAGGUGUAGGAGUGAAAUCCGUAGAUAUCUGGAGGAACAUCAGAGGCGAAGGCGACUAUCUGGCACAUAACUGACGCUGAGGAGCGAAAGCGUGGGUAGCAAACAGGAUUAGAUACCCGUGUAGUC
rnacentral:rRNA from 1 species